rnacentral:rRNA from 1 species
AACGAACGCUGGCGGCAUGCCUAACACAUGCAAGUCGAACGAAGGCUUCGGCCUUAGUGGCGCACGGGUGCGUAACGCGUGGGAAUCUGCCCUUGGGUUCGGAAUAACAGUGAGAAAUUACUGCUAAUACCGGAUGAUGUCGAAAGACCAAAGAUUUAUCGCCCAGGGAUGAGCCCGCGUUGGAUUAGCUAGUUGGUGAGGUAAAGGCUCACCAAGGCGACGAUCCAUAGCUGGUCUGAGAGGAUGAUCAGCCACACUGGGACUGAGACACGGCCCAGACUCCUACGGGAGGCAGCAGUGGGGAAUAUUGGACAAUGGGCGAAAGCCUGAUCCAGCAAUGCCGCGUGAGUGAUGAAGGCCUUAGGGUUGUAAAGCUCUUUUACCCGGGAUGAUAAUGACAGUACCGGGAGAAUAAGCCCCGGCUAACUCCGUGCCAGCCGCCGCAGUAAUAC